GGUGAUUCUGACGCUAUUGGGACAGGGACCACACUUUAAGAACACUGCUCUGAGAUAGUGAUUUUCAAAUAUGAAUGUCCAUUAGAAUCUCUCAGGGAGUUUAAAAAAGUAAAAGUACGUAGAUGCUGAGGCACUUCCCAAUGAAUCAGGCUGUCUGAGGGUGGGGCCCAGGCAUCUGGAGUUUUAAAACCUACUAGGUGAUUCCAAUAGGUAACAAGGUUGAAAACUUCUGCUUUAUGUGAACCACAACUUCAUUCUAAGACCAUGUGCAUUCUACUGCGCCAUACUGCCGAUCUGCAAAACAAAGAAUCUGUGUGACCACUUCAGAGUGAAAAAUAGUAAUUCAUCGGCUGUACCUUUUUCCCCUUGUCUGGAUGACCAAAGAAUUCCUGAAGGCAAAAGAAGCCACCACUCUAGGACUGAAGGAAAAUUGACCAUCUGACCUUCCUUUAAGUUCUGAGAUUCAGAUAUCUGAGGAGUUGUAACUGUGAAAAGAAGCAUAACUUCUACUGCUGUGAAUAAAGAAGAGGACACUCUAGAACCAUAAGAGCAGUUAUGGAGAAGAAGAAAGUUGCUGGAGGCUGCCAAGAACAACCUGCCACCAUGGGGAACACUACACAUAUCAGCUGCAUCUGAAACACUCACUGAUUCAGAGACAAAUUACAAACAAGAAAAAAAUAAAAAGGAAGUACUUUUGUCUAUCUCCAGGCUUGCAGUCACUUUCUUGCACCCACUAUUGGCAGAGUGAGACUGGGGACCAGUUGACAAAGGAGAGAAUGAGUUGCAGAGUCUAGCUCCAGAAUCACAAAAUGGGGCCAAGGAGAGUUGGGUUGGAGCUAUUAGGCAAGAAAUUAUUGACACAUCCAUUUCCCUGAUUCUACCAUUAACAUUUCCUUAUACUUGUUUUAUACAUAUCUAUCUACUGGCACAUCACCUUUAUUCAUUCAUCAAUUCAUCAUAUUUUUGAUGUAUUCCAAAGUAAGUUGCAGACAUCAAUAGACUCCCCCGUAAAUAGUUCAGCAUGCAUAGUAUUAACUCGAGUUUGAUAUUUGAGAUUUUUCAAUUUUAAAAAUUGUAAAAUUUUUAAAUACACAAAUGCAAAAUUAAAUUAAAUGCACAAAUUCACUGAUUUUUGAAAAAUUUAUACAUCUGUGUAACCCUAAUCCCUAUUAAGAUAUAAAAUAUUUUCAUUGGCCCCAGGAAGUUCCCUCAUGCCCCUUUCCCAGUCAAUCUUUUACCCCUGCCCCCAGGCACCAAUGUUCUGAUUUUUAUUUCACUAUAAAUUAGUUUCACCUUUUUUAGAACUCCAUCGAGAUGGAAUCAUAGAGUAUGUACUCUUCUUCUGUGUCUGGCUUCUUUCCCUGAGGAUGUUUUUGAGAUUUAUCUAUUUCUUUGGUCAAUAUCAAUAGUUCAUCCCUUUUAAAUGUUGAUGAGUGUUGCAUAGUAUGGAUAUGUCAUAGUUUGUUUAUUCAUGCUCUUAUUAAUGAACAUCUGGGCUAUUUCCAGUUUUGGCUAUUGUGAAUAAAGCUGCUAUGAAUAUUCUUGUACAAUUUGUCUGGUUUUUAAAGAUAAGGCCAAAUCUGUGUGUGUGUGUGUGU